rnacentral:rRNA from 1 species
UCAAGUUAUUAAGGGUGCAGGGCGGAUGCCUUGGCACUAGGAGCCGAUGAAGGACGUGAUAAGCUGCGAUAAGCUUCGGGGAGUUGCACGUAAACUUUGAUCCGAAGAUUUCCGAAUGAGGAAACUCACUUAGAGUAAUGUCUAAGUAUCAUUAAGUGAAUACAUAGCUUAAUGAGGGGAACUCAGGGAACUGAAACAUCUAAGUACCUGAAGGAAGAGAAAGAAAUUCGAUUCCGUAAGUAGCGGCGAGCGAACGCGGAUUAGCCCAAACCAAUAAAGUUUUCUUUAUUGGGGUUGCGGACAUAUCAUAACGAAGAGGUAUCGUAAUUGAAGAGGUUUGGAAAGACCCACCACAGAAGGUAAUAGUCCUGUAUGUUAAACGAGAAGACUUCAGAUAUGAUCCAGAGUACCACGGGACACGUGAAACCCUGUGGGAAGCAGGAGGGACCACCCUCCAAGGCUAAAUACUACCUAGUGACCGAUAGCGUAUAGUACCGUGAGGGAAAGGUGAAAAGAACCCCGGGAGGGGAGUGAAAUAGAACCUGAAACCCUGCACUUACAAGCUGUGGAAGCACAUUUCUUGUGUGACCGCGUACUUUUUGUAGAACGGGCCAACGAGUUACGUUAAGUAGCAAGGUUAAGCACUUAAGGUGCGGAGCCGUAGCGAAAGCGAGUUUUAACUGAGCGUUCAGUUACUUGACGUAGACCCGAAACCGGGCGACCUACCCAUGAGCAGGAUGAAGCGAAAGUAAAAUUUCGUGGAGGUCCGAACCCACGAGCGUUGAAAAGCUCGGGGAUGACUUGUGGGUAGCGGUGAAAUUCCAAUCGAGCCCGGAGAUAGCUGGUUCUCCCCGAAAUAGCUUUAGGGCUAGCCUCAAGGUGAGAGAUACGGAGGUAGAGCACUGAAUGUCCUAGGGGGUAUUGCACCUACCGAAGACUAUCAAACUCCGAAUGCCGUCAUCUUAUACUUGGGAGUCAGACUGUGGGUGAUAAGAUUCAUAGUCGAAAGGGCAACAGCCCAGAUCGUCAGCUAAGGUCCCUAAAUGUAAGUUAAGUGGUAAAGGAUGUGGGAUUGCACAGACAACCAGGAUGUUGGCUUAGAAGCAGCCACUCAUUCAAAGAGUGCGUAAUAGCUCACUGGUCGAGUGAUCCUGCGCCGAAGAUUUCCGGGGCUAAAACUUACUACCGAAGCUACGGCAUCAUUAUGAUGGGUAGGGGAGCUUCCCAUACGGGUUGAAGCAUGACCGUAAGGACAUGUGGACAGUAUGGGAGUGAGAAUGUUGGCAUGAGUAGCGAGAUGUGGGUGAGAAUCCCACAGGCCGUAAACCCAAGGUUUCCAGGGGAAGGUUCGUCCGCCCUGGGUUAGUCGGGACCUAAGCUGAGGCCGAAAGGCGUAGGUGAUGGACAACAGGUUGAUAUUCCUGUACUACCGAUAACCGUUUGAGAGAAGGGAUGACACAGUAGGAUAAGCUAAGCACACUGUUGGUUAUGUGUGCCCAAGCAUUGAGGCAGUCAAAGCAGGCAAAUCCGCUUUGAUAAUGCUGGGAUGUGAUGGGGAGCGAAAUUUAGUAGCGAAGUAGCUGAUUUCACACUGUCAAGAAAAGUCUCUAUCGAGGUUAAAGGUACCCGUACCGCAAACCGACACAGGUGGGUGAGGAGAGUAUCCUAAGGCCAGCGAGAGAACUGUUGUUAAGGAACUCGGCAAAAUGACCCCGUAACUUAGGGAUAAGGGGUGCCACCAUCCGGUGGCCGCAGAGAAUAGGCCCAAGCGACUGUUUACCAAAAACAUAGGUUUCUGCUAAGUCGCAAGACGAUGUAUAGGAGCUGACGCCUGCCCGGUGCUGGAAGGUUAAGGGGAUCUGUUAGAGCAAUCGAAGCAGUGAACUUAAGCCCCAGUAAACGGCGGCCGUAACUAUAACGGUCCUAAGGUAGCGAAAUUCCUUGUCGGGUAAGUUCCGACCCGCACGAAAGGCGUAACGAUUUGGGCACUGUCUCAACAACAGACUCGGUGAAAUUGUAAUUCCGGUGAAGAUGCCGGAUACCUGCGACAGGACGGAAAGACCCCAUGGAGCUUUACUGUAGCUUGACAUUGGGUCUUGGUACUACAUGUACAGGAUAGGUGGGAGGCUUUGAAACCAGGACGCCAGUUUUGGCGGAGCCAUCCUUGGGAUACCACCCUUGUAGUACUGGGACUCUAACCAUAGGCCAUGAAUCUGGUCUUGGGACACUGUCAGGUGGGCAGUUUGACUGGGGCGGUCGCCUCCCAAAAGGUAACGGAGGCGCUCAAAGGUUCUCUCAGUACGGUCGGAAAUCGUACGUAGAGUGUAAAGGCAAAAGAGAGCUUGAUUGCAAGACAUACAGGUCGAGCAAGGAUGAAAAUCGGACUUAGUGAUCCGGUGGUUCUGCGUGGAAGGGCCAUCGCUCAACGGAUAAAAGCUACCCUGGGGAUAACAGGCUUAUCUCCCCCAAGAGUCCACAUCGACGGGGAGGUUUGGCACCUCGAUGUCGGCUCAUCACAUCCUGGGGCUGUAGUAGGUCCCAAGGGUUGGGCUGUUCGCCCAUUAAAGUGGUACGCGAGCUGGGUUCAGAACGUCGUGAGACAGUUCGGUCCCUAUCCGUCGCAGGCGUAGGAAAUUUGAGAAGACCUGUCCUUAGUACGAGAGGACCGGGAUGGACGUACCUCUGGUGUACCAGUUGUCCUGCCAAGGGCAUGGCUGGGUAGCUAUGUACGGAAUGGAUAAGCGCUGAAAGCAUCUAAGCGCGAAGCCAACUUCAAGAUAAGAUUUCCCACCGCAAGGGUAAGACCCCAGAAAGACUAUCUGGUUGAUAGGUCGAAGGUGUAAGUGCAGCAAUGUAUUUAGCUUAUCGAUACUAAUAGGUCGAGGACUUGACCAA